UCCCAGACAGAGGAGCCAGAUUCCCAGACGGAGCAAAUCUCCCAGACGGAGGAGCAAGAAAGAGGGAGACA